GAUGAAGAACGUAGCGAAAUGCGAUACGUAAUGUGAAUUGCAAAUUCAGUGAAUCAUCGAAUCUUUGAACGCACAUUGCGCCCGUUGGUAUGCCUUAGGGCAUGCCUGUUCGAGCGUCAUUUAAACCUUCAAGCUCAGCUUGGUGAUGGGCGACUGUCCCCCCCCCUCGCGGGGGGGACUCGCCUCAAAAACAUUGGCGGCCGGUACAUUGGCUUCGAGCGCAGCAGAAACGCGGUCUCGAGCCCGGUGGAUCGGCUCCCAUAAGCCUAUUCUUUUAUUUUGACCUCGGAUCAGGUAGGGAUACCCGCUGAACUUAAGCAUAUCAAUAAGCGGAGGA
rnacentral:misc_RNA from 1 species